rnacentral:rRNA from 1 species
CCCUUCGAUGUUCGGAGCCGCACGCGCGCUACACUGAACAGUUCAACAAGUCUUAACCUUGGCCGAUAGGUCUGGGUAAUCUUUGAACGCUGUUCGUGAUUGGGAUAGACCUUUGCAAUUAUGGGUCUUCAACGAGGAAUUCCUAGUAAACGCAAGUCAUCAGCUUGCAUUGAUUACGUCCCUGCCCUUUGUACACACCGCCCGUCGCACCUACCGAUUGAAUGGUCCGGUGAAAUCUCGGGACGGCGGCUUGGUCGCUUGCGUCCGACUGCUGAAACUUGAUUAAACCAUAUCAUUUAGAGGAAGGUGAAGUCGUAACA